GAUGAACGCUGGCGGCGUGCUUAACACAUGCAAGUCGAACGAUGAAGCCCAGCUUGCUGGGUGGAUUAGUGGCGAACGGGUGAGUAACACGUGAGUAACCUGCCCUUAACUCUGGGAUAAGCCUGGGAAACUGGGUCUAAUACCGGAUAGGAGCGCCUACCGCAUGGUGGGUGUUGGAAAGAUUUAUCGGUUUUGGAUGGACUCGCGGCCUAUCAGCUUGUUGGUGAGGUAAUGGCUCACCAAGGCGACGACGGGGAGCCGGCCUGAGAGGGUGACCGGCCACACUGGGACUGAGACACGGCCCAGACUCCUACGGGAGGCAGCAGUGGGGAAUAUUGCACAAUGGGCGAAAGCCUGAUGCAGCGACGCCGCGUGAGGGAUGACGGCCUUCGGGUUGUAAACCUCUUUCAGUAGGGAAGAAGCGAAAGUGACGGUACCUGCAGAAGAAGCACCGGCUAACUACGUG
rnacentral:rRNA from 1 species